rnacentral:rRNA from 1 species
AAUUUGUGACAAUGGGCGCAAGCCUGAUCCAGCCAUGCCGCGUGAGUGAAGAAGGACUUCGGGUUGUCCCGCUCUUUCGGACUGAAAGCAAUCGCUCAGGCUAAUACCCUGCGCCGACGACGGUACCGUCAUAAGAAGCACCCGCUAAUAACGUGCCACCAGCCGCAGUAAAACGUAGGGUGCGAGCGUUAAUCGGGAUUGCUGGGCGUAAAGCGUGCGCAUGCGGUUGAUUAAGACAGGGGUGAAAUCCCCGGGCUUAACCUGGGAACUGCGCUUGUGACUGGUCAGCUAGAGUACGGCAGAGGGGGGUGGAAUUCCACGUGUAGCAGUGAAAUGCGUAGAGAUGUGGAGGAACACCGAUGGCGAAGGCAGCCCCCUGGGCCGAUACUGACGCUCAUGCACGAAAGCGUGGGUAGCAAACAGG